rnacentral:lncRNA from 1 species
CAUACUACUCUACAUGAUUGCCUUGAGAGGUCAACCCAUGCAGCAGCAUGGAAAGCUAAGCCAUUAAGCACUACUCCUAGCUAGGUUUACAUGGCUACAUUCGGGCGCCCUGCAGAUUAUUUAAUGGAUGCGUUUACUUCCUCCUGUUCCUGGGAACUGUUUGCCUUGAUGGGUUGAUGUUGCUACUUACUAGUACUGCUUUUCUAGACGCGAUUGUGAUGAUAAUCUUUUGCUGUUGCUGGCGAGGAAAUGGCACACACGUUCUUCUUUCGACCUGGCGUUCGUUUCAUUGGAUUUCACGAUCGAGAUAUACGUACUGCCCCCAUAUAUAUACGAAACCCGAAUCUCGAAACGCCUCCCGGAGAUGGCGCGCGCGCAAGACAAACGGGCAGGGGGG